UUCCGAGAUAAUUUGGUCUCAAAACAGCAAGAUCAACAAAAGAUAGCUUCGGGGAACUGGUGGUCCAGCCCGGAGUCUAAUUAAUGAGACUCUGAGCCGCCUCUCAGGCCCCCACAGAGUUCUGCCAUCUCCCACGCUGGCCCUCGGGAGGGACAGAGCCUCCAAGGUCGAUCAUUGACUUGCGCUAGGUCCAGGCCUGGUGGCACCGUUCAGUAAACUGCCUCCCCGCGAGGGGAGGCGCAGGGUCCCGCGGGUGGGAGGGCUUUUCACGAAACCCAGAAUGCUGGUUGCCAAAGCUCUCUGCCCCUCGACUUUUGAAUCCCUGGAUAAUUCCCUGGAAAGUAAUCUGGAUGUUCCUGAUUCAAGUAUAGUUCAGUCCAUGCCAUUGUUGUUUUCCGAAGACACUGAAGUGAUGAUUUCGUCUCUAUCCAGCCCAGACUCCUGUAAGUCAGACUUCCAAAGGUCACCUUUGUCUGAUGUGAAGCCGAACUUGUUCUGUCCUCGGCUUGCCAACUUUUCUCUCUUAUGCCUUGUUAGACUGCAAGAAGGCAGGAGGCAUCCUGGCAUCCUCAUCUGGGACCCAGCCACACUGCCGGCCCCUGUGCUGAAAGACUGGGACCCCAUAGGAAGAAGAGAAACAUAUCACUGAGAAAAUGUGAAAUGGUUUAAAUGUCUUGCCUACUCCCCGGAAGCAUGAUGAAAUGUAUGUUUGGUCUCAUAAUCUUAACAUUUGUGCUUGACACAAAUCAUAGCAACAAGGACCACAGUGACUUCUUCAGAGCACUUACUUUAUGCUGGGGACGGUGGUGGACUGGUGGUACGAAUUGCAUCGUUUAAUCAUUUCAGUAAUUCUGCUCAGAAAACUGAGACUCUGGAUUGAAAUGAUUGUUCCAAGGCCCCCUCAGGUAACACGUAGACUGGAACUGUGUCUCUUGUUCUUGGUGCUGGGUGGAACCCAGGACUUCGAGAAUCUAAACCCAUGCCCUAGCUCUGAGCCACCCUCCACCUCCACCCCUCUGUGCGUCUUUUUGCAAAAUCUGCAUUAGUCUAUACUAAUGGUGCAGACAUUAAAGACAGAGGGCACGGGUCCUAAGGUGAGCCAGAACUGGCAUCUGUGCCCGGCUUGGUCUGGUCCGGCGCAACACCCGUGUUUUAGCACGGUCGAGUUUGCAUGAUUAAUAAGUCAAUGCCUGAGACUUAAUGCCGAAUGGAUUUGCCCUCAUCAUGUUUCCCCAAAUGGA
rnacentral:lncRNA from 1 species